UACGGGGGGAGCAAGCGUUGUUCGGAUUUACUGGGCUUAAAGGGCGCGUAGGCGGUGCGGUACGGUUUCGGUGAAAUCCCUCGGCCCAACCGAGGAACAGCCGGAGCUACGGCCGGACUAGACGGCAUCAGGGGACAGUGGAACUCCCGGUGGAGCGGUGAAAUGCGUAGAUAUCGGGAGGAACGCCGGUGGCGAAAGCGACUGUCUGGGGUGCCUGUGACGCUGAGGCGCGAAAGCCAGGGGAUCAAACGGG
rnacentral:rRNA from 1 species